AGGGUUUGAUUAUGGCUCAGAACGAACGCUGGCGGCAGGCCUAACACAUGCAAGUCGAGCGCGCCUUCGGGCGAGCGGCGGACGGGUUAGUAACGCGUGGGAACGUGCCCAGAUCUACGGAGUAGCCACUGGAAACGGUGAGUAAUACCGUAUACGCCCUUAGGGGGAAAGAUUUAUCGGAUUUGGAUCGGCCCGCGUUAGAUUAGGUAGUUGGUGGGGUAACGGCCUACCAAGCCUACGAUCUAUAGCUGGUUUUAGAGGAUGAUCAGCAACACUGGGACUGAGACACGGCCCAGACUCCUACGGGAGGCAGCAGUGGGGAAUCUUGGACAAUGGGGGAAACCCUGAUCCAGCCAUGCCGCGUGAGUGAAGAAGGCCCUAGGGUCGUAAAACUCUUUCGCCUGUGAUGAUAAUGACAGUAGCAGGUAAAGAAACCCCGGCUAACUCCGUGCCAGCCGCCGCGGUAAUACA
rnacentral:rRNA from 1 species